rnacentral:rRNA from 1 species
UACGAAGUGUGCAAACGUUGUUCGGAAUUAUUGGGCGUAAAGCGCACGUAGGCGGCCUUGCAAGUCGGAUGUGAAAUCCCUCGGCUUAACCAAGGAAGUGCAUCCGAAACUGCAGUGCUUGAGUACUUAAGAGGAUCGCGGAAUUCCCGGUGUAGAGGUGAAAUUCGUAGAUAUCGGGAGGAACACCAGUGGCGAAGGCGGUUGCCUGGAGCUUUGCUGACGCUGAUGCGCGAAAGCGUGGGGAGCGAACCGG